rnacentral:rRNA from 1 species
UGGCGGACGGGUGAGUAAUGUCUGGGAAACUGCCUGAUGGAGGGGGAUAACUACUGGAACGGUAGCUAAUACCGCAUAACGUCGCAAGACCAAGAGGGGACCUUCGGGCCUCUUGCCAUCGGAUGUGCCCAGAUGGGAUUAGCUAGUAGGUGGGGUAACGGCUCACCUAGGCGACGAUCCCUAGCUGGUCUGAGAGGAUGACCAGCCACACUGGAACUGAGACACGGUCCAG